UUACUUUUCCCAGUUCUGUUUUCAAUCCUAUCUUCCAAACAAGAUAAAAUCCUUGCAAAAUUGCUUGCAGAGGAUACCUAAAAUGACUUUCUCCUUGCUCAUUUGCCAUCUAUUUAUGUCUUUGGUAUGACUGGUAAUUUUAACGUAUAUGAAGCCUAAGGUGGAUCUGAAACUGAAGUAGAGUAAGGGAGACCCUUUCCAAGUUGGCAAUGAUUAUAAGCAGUCAUUUAGAAGACAACUUGGAUAGUUACAAAGAAUUAUGUUACCCAUGACAGGGAAAACUAAUCAAGUCCAUUGAGAACAAGGAUCCAUUGUCAAGAACAGAUGCAGGAACUCAUCAGUAUAAUAACAAGAACAAACUCAUGUAAAAACAAACUCCUGUCAUUAACUGAGAAGAAAGAGGCUUCAUUCAAAGAGGAACAGUAACUAAAAGGAAAUCAGCAUGUGACCUAUGAAAAAGACACUAUGAGAAAGGUAAGCAACUGAUAAUGAAAUCCAUGUAAAAAGCAUACUCUAGAAAAAUUAUACCAAGGAAAAUUAAUGACUGAUUCUGUCUAUGUUAACAAAGAAAUUAAAUAGAAGUGCAAAGAUAGACCAAGACCA
rnacentral:lncRNA from 1 species